rnacentral:rRNA from 1 species
GCCCUUAGAGUUUGAUCAUGGCUCAGGAUGAACGCUGGCGGCGUGCUUAAUACAUGCAAGUCGAACGAAGUCAGUAGCAAUAUUGGCUGAGUGGCGAACGGGUGAGUAACGCGUUGGUGACCUGCCCCGAAGAGAGGGAUAACAGUUCGAAAGGAUUGCUAAUACCCCAUGUGGUCGUUUGGAUUAGAUACCUUAUGACUAAACGGAUUUAUUCGCUUCGGGAGGGGCCUGCGUCCCAUCAGCUAGUUGGUAGGGUAAUGGCCUACCAAGGCGAUGACGGGUAGGGGACCUGAGAGGGUGGCCCCCCACAAUGGAACUGAAACACGGUCCAUACACCUACGGGUGGCAGCAGUAGGGAAUAUUGGUUAAUCUGCGAAAGCGGGAACCAGCAACGCCGCGUGCACGAUGACGGCCUUCGGGUUGUAAAGUGCUUUUUGAAAGGAUGAGGAAGGACAGUACUUUCAGAAUAAGCUUCGGCUAACUACGUGCCA